rnacentral:rRNA from 1 species
UUCCAUCUGGAAGAAUACUGGAGACAGGUGCUGCAUGGCUGUCGUCAGCUCGUGUCGUGAGAUGUUGGGUUAAGUCCCGCAACGAGCGCAACCCUUGCCUUUAGUUGCCAGCAGUUCGGCUGGGCACUCUAAAGGGACUGCCGGUGUUAAACCGGAGGAAGGUGGGGGAUGACGUCAAGUCCUCAUGGCCUUUAUGACCAGGGCUACACACGUACUACAAUGGCCGAUACAAAGGGCAGCGACACUGCGAGGUGAAGCCAAUCCCGUAAAAUCGGUCUCAGUCCGGAUUGGAGUCUGCAACUCGACUCCAUGAAGUUGGAAUCGCUAGUAAUCGUGGAUCAGCAUGCCACGGUGAAUACGUUCCCGGGCCUU